AGAGUUUGAUUCUGGCUCAGGACGAACGCUGGCGGCGCGCUUAACACAUGCAAGUCGUGCGAUACCUUGAGCGAGUCUUACGACAAGCUCAAGGUAGAGCGGCGGACGGGUGAGUAACACGUGAGUAGCUGUCCUAAGGAGGGGGAUAACGCCUGGAAACGGGUGCUAAAACCCCAUAUGCCUCGCAAGAGGUGAAAAUGUAUUACUACAGCCUUAGGGUGUGCUCGCGGCCUAUCAGCUAGUUGGUGAGGUAACGGCUCACCAAGGCUAAGACGGGUAGCCGGCCUGAGAGGGUGUACGGCCACACUGGAAUUGAGAUACGGUCCAGACUCCUACGGGAGGCAGCAGUGGGGAAUCUUGGGCAAUGGGCGAAAGCCUGACCCAGCGACGCCGCGUUGGGGAUGAAGCCCUUCGGGGUGUAAACCCAUGUUGUAGGGGACGAAGAAAGUGACGGUACCCUACGAGGAAGCCCCGGCUAACUACGUGCCAGCAGCCGCGGUAAGACGUAGGGGGCAAGCGUUGUCCGGAAUUACUGGGCGUAAAGGGCACGCAGGCGGUGCGCCAAGUCGAGGGUGUAAAGUUACGGCUCAACCGUGACAUUGCAAUCGAUACUGGCGCGCUGGAGUGCGGGAGAGGGAAGUGGAAUUCCCGGUGUAGCGGUGAAAUGCGUAGAUAUCGGGAGGAACGCCAGUGGCGAAGGCGGCUUCCUGGCCCGCGACUGACGCUCAUGUGCGAAAGCCAGGGGAGCGAACCGGAUUA
rnacentral:rRNA from 1 species